rnacentral:rRNA from 1 species
AUUGAACGCUGGCGGCAUGCCUAACACAUGCAAGUCGAACGGUAACAGGCAUCUGGGUGCUGACGACUGGGGCGCAGGUGAGUAAAGUACCGGAAAGUGUCCCGAGGAGGGGGAUAAAACGGCCAAAGAUGGGCGAAAAUCGCGUGUACGCUCUGGGGGAGAGCGGGGGACAAGGUCGGACCGUACGCCAUCGCGCGAUUGGAGGGCGCGAUGUCGGAUUAGGUAGUUGGUGGGGUAAAGGCCUACCAAGCCGACGAUCUGUAGCUGGUCUGAGAGGACGACCAGCCACACUGGAACUGAGACACGGCCCAGACUCCUACGGGAGGCAGCAGUGGGGAAUAUUGGACAAAGGGCGCAAGCCUGAUCCAGCAAUGCCGCGUGCGUGAAGAAGGCCUUCGGGUUGUAAAGCGCUUUUGUUCGGGACGAAAAGCAUCAAGCUAAUACCUGGCUGUUAUGACGGUACCGUAAGAAUAAGCACCGGCUAACUUCGUG